rnacentral:rRNA from 1 species
UAGGGAAUCUUCGGCAAUGGACGAAAGUCUGACCGAGCAACGCCGCGUGAGUGAAGAAGGUUUUCGGAUCGUAAAACUCUGUUGUUAGAGAAGAACAAGGACGUUAGUAACUGAACGUCCCCUGACGGUAUCUAACCAGAAAGCCACGGCUAACUACGUGCCAGCAGCCGCGGUAAUACGUAGGUGGCAAGCGUUGUCCGGAUUUAUUGGGCGUAAAGCGAGCGCAGGCGGUUUCUUAAGUCUGAUGUGAAAGCCCCCGGCUCAACCGGGGAGGGUCAUUGGAAGCUGGGAGACUUGAGGGCAGAAGAGGAGAGUGGAAUUCCAUGUGUAGCGGUGAAAUGCGUAGAUAUAUGGAGGAACACCAGUGGCGAAGGCGGCUCGCUGGUCUGUAACUGACGCUGAGGCUCGAAAGCGUGGGGAGCAAACAGG